UUCAUAGAGAAACUUACAGCCUUCCUCACAGUUGUGGUUCUUCGAGUAGGAACUAGCUUCCAGAUUUCACCUUCUUUCCUCUUAUGAUCUGAUUCUCAUUAUGAGUAAGUUUCAUCUCACUCCAUUCUUAUAAGACUGCGAGAUUUUUAAGUCACAGAGAACUCAAGGCCACAGGAGCCACCCUGGAAGCUUGUCCCUGACUCUGUGUCAGAUACCUCCAACUGAAGGCCAGACAAACUGGUGGACACUUUCAGGCUGCUGCCUGCUUGCUGAUCCAGCUUGGGGAUUGCUGUUCAUAAAGGCAGGGAACCUGCCAACUUUCACAGAUCUGUACUUGUAAGAGGAGUGCUAGACCUGCAAGGCAGCACACCGCCAUCCAGCCCCUGCCUGACAAACAGGCGUUGUGAGUAAUCCCUCCAAUGGGGGACGCAUUCCAGCUGAAAGGAGCCGUCUCCUGGCCUGGAGCCCCCAUGCAAAGCUUGAAAUAAACAGCUGUUUCCAUGGAGCUGUGGAGAAUGAUUCUUCCCAAGGCUUUUGAGGGGGAGUCAUACCAUAAAAUACUCAGACAUGAUGAAGAAAAAAUUCCAUGUGGACCAAACCAAAGCAAAGAACAUAUUUGCUAUACAUUGCCAUUUGUUGGGCUUUGCUGAGUUGUGGCUAAGCAGGGCAGAACAUCUACAAGAGAGUCAUGAUUCAUCAGCUCAGUUUUGUUAUGACUGGGAAGCGAGAGAAGUCUGCGGGAAGGCAUGCUCAGGGUGCAAGACCUCUGCCGACGUCACCUCCGCAGGACCUCUCAGCCUGACUGAAUUCAAUGAUCUCAAGCUCCAGCAAUGCUAUGGAAUAGUUGUUGCCUGGGAAAGCCAGAUGUGAAUACAGAAGUGAUCAAGAAACUUAAAAAGAGAGGAGAUACGGAGGCAUCCAAAAGGAAAAUUGGGAAGACAGAAGAAGACUGACAAAACAGAAACCUAGAAACAAAGAAGAAUGGGAAGGAUAUAUGACUAAAUGUGCUAAGCUCUACAAUAAAAGCCACAUGUUUUCACAGAUCUUAAAGGAACUGAUAUCGCUGAGACCUCUGUCACUCUUGGAUUGGAUUGAUAUUGGUUACUAAUGUCAAAAGUUAAUGGGAGGGACUGAGAAGAGAGUGUAGAGAUAGACGCAAAUAUAGAACAAUCAUUUCCUUAGGAAGGUAGGCUAAAAUAAUUAUGUGAAGCUUAAGAAAUAAUUUCUCUCUCCGCAUCUUCCUCCUUGUUCUUCUUUGCGGAGGAAUGUUAAGACCUAAAACUAUUAGAUGACCAUACACAUCUAUAAAAAGCACAAGUUUUUUUUCUUUUCUCCCUUUGUUCAUGGUGCAAAGGGACCCAGCGCAUGCACUCAUUCCAUAUGCCUUAUCAUUUUCUUAUUUUGUCCCAGAACAGUAGAGCACAUAGACUGCAGAAAAUCAGAGCCCUGUGACAAGGAUACUUUGUUUGCUUUCUUUUCAGUUUCUUACAGACUUUGAGAGACAAAUAAAUAGAUAGUUCACUUUAAUAAGAUCAACUGAAAAAUAGAUUAGAUGAUUGGGCAAAAAUAGCUAGAUGUAGUAGCUAUGUAAUCUAGUUUGUUGGGGUUUUUUUUUAUUAUUUUUCAUGAUCAUUAUCUUCUGUUUCAUAUAAAAAGCCAUUAUCUUGAAGCUCACUUCACUUAAAAAUAAGGUAUGUCUAUGAUACAGCUCUUAAUAAUACUGACAAUAAAGGAGCACUCACUGCCGGCCUUCCGAUGGGAUUAAAGUUACUCUGUUCCCACUGAGUCAGAAGGUCUUUGCCAAGAACUUUUGAAAUCUCCCACUUCCCUCCUACCAAUAUUUUUUCACAAGCACCGUUUUCUUAACAAUAGAAGGCAGUGCAUUCAGGCCAUCAAUAUGUACACCCACACAGCAUGGGAUAGCACCGUGUCACACAGCCUGCCCACACAUCAAGUUCUAUUUAUUUUGUUAUUCUGCCAACCUGGCUUUAUUCUCCCAGUCAACCUUCCUUUCUAUAAUCUAAAUGAGUCAUGGGAUCAUGCAAUCAGUUGCAGUGUGAGCAGUUCUCUUACAUACUGGUUGAAAGUGGGUUCCUCAGAAGCCCCACCAAAGGCAAUGACUUUAAGCACUUUUUAAAUAGGGCAUUAAGAAUUAUUUCUUUGAAUGACUCUUCAUUUAGCAAAGUAUCCCAGCUCCAUUCUGUAUCCUCCAGAAAUAAUUUGGUCUUUUAGUUCCUAGCUAAAUUCAUAAACUGUGGUAUAUCCUGUUACAACCAUGCCAAGAAAAGUGCUUUAACCACGUGAUCUCUCAGACUGGACAUCUCUUAAUUUUCCACAAAUCCAGACCACAGGUCCUCUGUAAACGUCCCUACAGGGGCUUGCAGUAUGUCUAUGCAAUACAUUGUUUCCUGUAGCUCUGUGAUUUUUCUUCAUGGCAGAACUAUCAAGAUACAAAGCUCCUUUUUGGCUGCAGGGCUUUAGGCCACUAACAGCUUUUGACAGUUUGUGAAAGCUUGUUAAACUCAAAUAAUUUUGAUAAUGCAUACUAGUAAGAAGACAAACCAGUUAUCCCAGAAUAACUCUUCCCAUCUAUUCAUCAAAAGAUUUAUAUUAAUUGCUUGGAAAAAAAAGAUGAUAUUGUUACUGAGUAUUUAAAUUAAUUUUUUUUACUUUUUAUUAAAUCUAGUUUUAUUAAAUCAGAAAGCAGGAAAGAUGGCAGUUUUUAAAAGAGCAGUGGAGACUGCACAGUGAUCACAAACCUGUUAAACAGUUCCUUCUCUCUAUGGGUUUUUCAAGUGCCUAAAAUUAUUACUAUUUCAUUUAACAAAUGCUGAUUAAUUCUCGAGAUGAUCAUGGUUUUCUCCUGCUCUCUCUGCUUUCCACAACUGUCUGAGAAUUCUCUGAAGUCAUUAAAAUUUAAAUAUAUUCUUAAGCAUCGCCCUGAGUAAAUCUGGGGAAGCUCUGACAAAGUCUUUUUUUUUUUUUAACUGAGAGGAACACAGAUGGUUGAGCUGUUAGGAGGGUGGGGGAACAAUGACUGAAUAGUAGCAUCAGGAUGAUUUCUUAAUGGAAGUGAGCUCAAAACUAGCAUUUGGACCAGUGUAACUUACUGCUUCUUUAGGAAACUUGGCAGGUAUAACUUACUCUGUGGUUCAGUGAAAGAAGUAUGUGGUUGAGAGUCAGAAGACCUGGAUUCUGUUUCAGUAUUUUCAUUGCUCAAGUAGCUUAGGUCAUUUCUCUUUCUGCCUUAUUUCCUCUUUACCUGUUUAUAUCUGUAUAAACAGUAAAAAUUAUUUGAAGCAGAGACUUUCAUUAUAUGUGGAGCAGUUGUGCAGCACUGUCAUCAUAGUUAAUAGCACUUUUGUGGUCUAUACGAUAGAUCUUUCCUUGUACAAGUACUCUUGUACUCUGAUGGCCACUGCCAGACAGUAACAGAAAAGAGACACUGCACAAUAAUACUGUUAAUCAUGUUCUGUUUAUUACAGCUGCAAAAAUCAAUAGUAAAAAAUGUUAAUCCCAAUUAUUUCCAAAGAGAACUGUGAUUUUUACCUUAGAGCUCUCUCUUAAAUCUUUGUGCUCAGAGGCAAAUACUGAAGUUCACCUCUGUACUGGAAAUUAGCUAUACUUUUCUUCAUAGACAAAAUUUCAGCCUCUGAAACCUUCUAUCAUGUGAGCAUCUGAUGGAGAUUCCCUGUUAUGAUCAAAUGUUUUUUUCCUUGUGACCCAGUCUAAGGGAUGGCUGGGUGGAGAUUUCUGAGGAUGCAUCACAGUACUCCCUUCACAGGUGGGAUGCAGAGAAUUCUCCUGGAGAAGGUCUUCUGGGAAAUUCUCUCCCUUCUCUUUGCAGACAGGACAGAAGUGCUUUGUGGGAUUACACUGCAUUCACUCUUUAUCUUCACCAAAAGACUCACUUGGUAGCAGAGACAAGAUGGAAUUUACUCAGCUAGCUCUCGAUGACACCUCUCUUGGUCUCUCAUUCUGAGGUGCACAACUCUCCCCACCUACCUGAUCACCAAGUUAGAGUUCUAGCUGAGGUCUUCGGCAUUUCAACACCAGGCCUCUUUCUUUAUCAAGCCUUUAGUCUAACAUCUGUAAAUAUUUUUCCUAUCUUGCCUGGGUUUUGUUAGGAGAAAUUCUUUUUAAAAUAUUGCAUAUUUCUCAGCUAUGAUAAGAUAAAUGCCAUACACAUAAUCGGUAUCAGCACACACAAACGCUUUGUUAGGAUCACUGUUGUUUUACUAACCUGGGAUGUCCUUCGGUUUGGGGGUUUUAUUUUAUUCCUCUUAUUGCAGUGUCAGUCAUUCUAUAAUGAGACCAACUAAAAUAGUACAUGUAAAGUUUUAACUACUUAUCUCCACUCUCAGUAUUUUACAGUAGUUACUGAAUUAAAACGCUUUUUAAGUUGUCACCUUCCUAGCUCAAGCCUCUGUUUUAUUACAUUGGAAGAUGGCAAUUUAAGAGAGACGCACAACCCCCCCUUUUUCAGGUAACAUGCAUGGGCCUAAUUUUUAAUUGAUAUUUAGAGCUGGAUAAUGGGUUAGGAGAUGAUAUAUACACCAAGGCUUAACUGGUCUAACCACACAGGCUACAUUAGCAAAGAAAUACCUCAUACAAAGAAAAGGAGUCAUUUUCCUACUAGAAUUAAAUCACUUUGCUGAAGGACAUAAGCUGUACCUGCAAAAAACUCACAUGAAAGUGUGAUGUGGGUUUUUAUCUGGCACAGCACAGCCAGAUGUUGGCUAGAGGUAACAACAAACUUCUAAAUAAAGCCAUAAAUACCCCCUUAUUCACCUCUACAGAGGACCCACUGGACCAGGGGUCUAACUAUACAGAAAUAAAAAGUACUGUGGGCCUACAUAAGGGGAGCAGGUAGAGACAAGAAUUAGGUGAACACUUGGCCCCACUCCCACUACUCUCUAGCCAUAGCUUGUAGCAAGACUGUGUGGGAUGGGCAUGUAGUAAUUGAUUGACACAUUGGGCCAACACUAAGCAUCUGCACCCCUGCAACAAUGAGGGGAGGCAGUGUGAGUCAGACACAUCUCUGAGUCAUGAUGCCUCCCAGGCCUCAUCCCCUGGUGGGGCAGUUUACCAUCAUCAUUUGCUGGGGGCAGCGCCUACCUAUCUUUUAGUCAUAUAAGUCAUAUAGAAGUUCUGUCUGAGCAGAGCCAAGGAAAACACAGGAAGUUAAGAUGCAGUCAGAUUACAGUUAUGUGUAAACUCAGUCCAUCUCAGAUCCAAAUAACUCCACCUCAGUGCUAAUCAAUGGAAAAAUUACGUCAAUCAUUUUCAUUCUUCCCCUUUUAAUUUUCACAUGAUGCAUGUAAAGCUAAAGCUGAUGCAUCAGCUAAAAUACUAGAAGUAAAAGCAUGUUGUAAAUCAGGACUGAGCAAAUUCCAGCACAGUCACAUGGGGUGGCAGCCGAUGCUAUAGCUAACUAGAUUAAUUUUAUAAGCACUUUUAUGAACAGGUGAUAGGAUGCUCUGCCUGUCUAGGCUGUGGAAUCUUAAGCUAAUUAGGCUAUUUAGCAUUCAAGAACACAGAACAGCUUUAAAGCAGAUGAAGUUAGUUUCUUCAUGAUUUUUGCUAGAGAAAAAAAAUGCCAGGGAAGGCAUGUCCUGGCACUUCUGCAUUGGUAAAACAGUCACUUGAAGAUACUUGACACUACUUGCAAAUGAGGGAAAAGCCAACUGUUCAUUUUACAAAUAGAUGGAGCGGUAAAAAUUGUUCAGAGUCCCACAGCAGAGUCAGCUGUCCUCACUUGAGCUACUGAUAAAGGCUGCUUGAACUUACCUGGUUAGCCCUCUAUGGGCAUGCUUUGGGAGAGUUCACAGACAUUUCCACUCUGUAAGGGAGGCUGUAGAACAACGAACUCUAGGUAGUGGAUAGUAGCAAAGAGCUGGAAACCAAGGUUUUCAAAUAUUCCUGACCAGAAUGUUUAGAUGCUUCCAUAUAGCAACCUUGAAGCUAUUUAUGCUUAAAAAUCAUUAGUCGUAACACCAAAUACCUCAUCUCAUUUUUCUUUGAAGUCAGCUGAAAUUUUUAAUGAUCACCUUGAGGACUGGGUCAAGCACACUGUUUCCAGUGUACAGGAGAAAACAGGUAAAUUACAUGUACUGUGCAAGAAUAAGCCUGUUUUGUAAUGCAGUGUAUGGUGAAUAUGGGCUUCCUCUUUGUCUCAAGUCAUGGCUGCUAUAGAAGCAUAUAAAGAAUGAUCUCCCUCGACACGUGUCCAAUCCUCCAUUGCUAUUGAAAUAAAUUGUGUGAAUCUGUGAGACAGAAACAACGAAGGCUACAAACAGUACAGCAUAAUGGGAACUCCUGACAUUGAGAUCUACGUCAAUGAAUGUGGAAGGUAAAUUUGACUUGAUCGAGUCUUUAUUUUCCCUUCUCUUUAAUGUGAAUGUUUUUUCUUUGAAGUAGCUUUAGAAAGAGCAAUUCAAAUUUUGGCUAUGUGUACCCAGCACUAUUAUUUCUUCACAGCAAUUUUUGUUAUAAUGAAAAAUAAUAAGACCUUUUGCCUUGAUAUAGUGCUUUUCACCUUCAAAGCAUUUUCAAAACACUCUCUAGCUAAUCUGAACACCCCUUUAAAGUAGUUAUGGUUGAUUAUCAUUAUGAUUAUCACUAUACAGAAGGGACAGAUUUUAAAUUACUUAAAUCCACAAAAGAAUUUGAUGAAGGGGGAUUAAAACUCAGGAGUCCCUAUGUCCUCAUUCUCUGACCACAACAUAGUCAGAGCUUCUCCCAAGCUAGGUUUGCACUGUGAAGAACUAUCUUCUUACGCACAGACUAAUUUUGUUUUCUAUGGAUAUUUAACUAAACAAUAUACCUAUGCAUAGUUUAAGUACUUAUUACACAAACAGGAAUGUUACACAUUCAUUUGGCCAGGAUUACACAACUCUACCACACAUAUAGCCAAAUCUGUUCAGUAGUUAUAGGGACCUCAAAAUGCCAGACCUUGCAGUCAGUAUUUCUAAGAAGGCCAGAGUUUUAAGUUAUUUGCUACAUAUGGACACUCAGCCUGACUCUCCUGAGGCAUAAAAAUGCCACUUUGCAUUUAACACUCUGAAGAGCCUUAAUCUACGAAUAUAUAUAAUUUAUUUUCAUCUCAAGGUUCCUCUGUACUUUGUGAGUGGUGUAAAGUACAAAUGAGAUGUGGUUCGUACACAUUAAUAUAACUGAAGCCACGGAAGCACUGCCCAUGAGCCACGACAACCUGAAAUACUGAGAAAAUGAAGAAGAGAGACUCAAAAUGUUUGUAUUUCCCUCCUUUUUGUUAAACUGAAAUGAAACUUCAUUGGAUGACUUCUAUUUUUGUUCAGAUAAAUGGAUUUACAUCCCAUCAUUUACAACAUAAAGUACAAAGUAUACCCUCUGGGAAAGUACAAAGCUGUAAUUUUAUUUCUGUGAUGUCAGAAAUGAAACUGUAAACUGAAAUUACAACCUCUCUAGUAAUCCUGUAAAUAGUGUCAUUUUACAAAUGUAUGUUCAUCCUGAAAUCAAAACAUUUUGACUGCCUGCUUCCAAUUUUACAUGGUUGCUAGAGAAAACUUAUUAUUCUUCAAAACACAGAUAUGUGAUAGCUGAAGCAGCCCACAGUGGUAAAUGCUAGGUUAAGAACUUCUAUAUUACAGUUUACUGAUGAACUGUCACUGAACUGGAUUCCACCUUUUAGUUCUACGACAAGAUUUUACUUUUAAACUGUUCAAAACUGACUUACCAAAAGCAUAUUGUCAUCAGAAAAGAAAGCAUUUUAAAAUGUUUAUUUCACAAAGCAGUAUUUCUUACCUGUUACAGAAUACUUCGAUCCUUUCAAAGGCUUAAAUGCGUAUACGGCUUCAGCUAGGUUAUCAGCUGGUGUGGAUGAUGGGACUUCACUAGCUGCUCAUUUAUAGUCAUUUGACUUCAAGAAGAAAUGAAAAAUUUCAUAUUGAUACAGGUUUUUGUUACUGGUUCUGUUUACUGCUAAAAAGAAAUAAGCAUGGUGUUAAAUUUGAAAAGGUACUUAGCUUGUCUGCAAAAAUUCAGUGUUUCAACUCCUUUUUCUGGUUUUGAAUAAAAAAUGUGGUUCUGAAUACUA